CCAUUGUUGUUUGACCAAUGUUGAAAUGUUUCGUAAAAAUAUAUGAACCUGGAAAUUAUUUUCAAAAGUUUUAUAGCAUUGUUAUGUUACUUACAUCGAAACAGAACAUAUAAAUCAAACGUCAUUGCAAUCGGAAUUCUUUUCAAGGUCUCUGCUAACAUUUUUCAAAUUGCAUGUGGCUCCACAAUGGCAAACGAAAAUGCUGAGAGAGGAGGUUGGAAGGCCCGGAGACCUGAAAUGAACGUUGACGGACACGAACGGCGAAUGGAACCCGCUUUUCACCUCUCCUUCGUCUUCGACCCACAGUAGCUGAAUUUCCACUGGCGCCCUGCAAGUUAACGGUGACGGGGGCGGACGUUGUUAACCCGGGCCACGACCAAUCCGGACAGCAUAGUCUGGCCUGUCAUGGACCCAGCGGAGAUGGAUCCCCUUCGCCAAACAGUUACCGGACAGAGCAUGCUUUUGGAGCAACACGACCAAGCCCUCACCCUGCUGAUUCAAAAGUUCCAAUCGUGCUUGGCUUGCCUUGGCUAAGGCUCCAUAACCCCAGCAUCGACUGGACCCUGCCCAAGAUCACCUUAUGGAGCAAUUUCUGUCAUGAGAACUGCUUGCGAUCUGCUGCGGUGCCCCCGAGUGGCCGAAGUCAGAGUAAAUCCCCUGACCUAUCAGGUGUCCCCUCAAUUUAUCAUGACCUAGCUCCAGUAUCCAGCAAACACCAUGCCACUUCUCUACCUCCACACAGGCCUUACGAUCGCACUAUUGAACUACAGCCCGGUGCACCGCUACCUAGCAGCCGCCUUUUUAACAUCUCUCGUCCAGAGCGGGAGGCCAUGGAGACCUAAAUCAGCGAGUCAUUGGCCGCAGGGCAACAGUUUUCACCAAGUUGGAUCUGCGCCAAGCCUACCACCUUGUCCGCAUUCGAGAGGGAGACGAGUGGAAGACUGCAUCUAACAACCAUAGAGGGCACUAAGAGUACCUUGUAAUGGCUUUCGGCCUGACCAAUGCCGCUGCUGUCUUCCAGGCACUAGUCAAUCAGAAAAACGUGUUUUUGUGUACCUGGAUGACAUCCUGGUUUUCUCCCGUUCAGUCGCAGAUCACGAAUGACAUGUUCGACAAGUACUUCAGAGACUCCUUGAGAACAAGCUCUUUGUUAAAGCUGAAAAGUGUGAGUUCCGUGUUCCAAAGACCACCUUUUUGGGUUACGUCAUUGCUGAGGGGCAGCUUCAAAUGGACCCAGCCAAGGUAGCUGCAGUCACUGAGUGGCCAACGCCAUCCACAAGAAAGGAGCUGCAGCGAUUCCUUCGCUUCGCCAACUUCAUUCAGAACGACACUCCUAUCCUCGUUCAUCCAGAUCCACAGAGGCAGUUCAAAGUUGAGGUUGAUGCAUCAGAGGCGGGGGUUGGUGCGGUGCUGUCUCAGCGAUCCCAGACUGAUGGUAAGGUCCACCCUUGCGCCUUCUUUUCUCGCAAGUUGUCUCAGGCGGAGAAAAAUUAUGGGAUCGGAGAUCAGGAGCUCUUGGCGGUGAAGAUGGCGUUGGAGAAAUGGCGGCAUUUCCUGGAAGGUGCCGAACACCCAUUCAUCGUGUGGAACGACCACAGGAGUUUGCAAUACAUCUGCUCUGCUAAGAGGCUGGGCUCCCAUCAAGCCAAGUGGGCAUUGUUUUUUGACCAGUUCACCUUUACCUUGUCGUACCACCCAGGGGCCCAGACCACCAAGGUGGAUGCCCUGUCCCACUAGUUUGCCUCGGAGAGUGUCAAGAAUGAUCCAGAUCCCAUCUUGUCUCCCCGUUGCUUUCUGGGCUCAAUCACAUUAGAAAUAGAAACGCUGGUAAAGGAGGCCCAGGAAGAACAAGCUGAUCCUGGUGGGGGUCCUCGGAACUCCCUGUUUGUCCCUGAUUCGGUCCGCCCCCAGGUGCUACAGUGGGCCCAUUCAUCGCGACUUACCUCUCACCCUGGAAUCCGCAGAACAUUGGCCUUCCUCCGUCAACGCUUCUGGUGGUCCACCAUGGAAGAUGACACCAGGUCCUUUGUCUCUGCAUGCACAGUAUGUCCUCAAAAUAAGACAUCCUCUACACCAAGUUCUGGUUUACUGCGUCCGCUUCCCAUUCCCAGACGCCCUUGGUCGCACAUCCCCCUGGACUUCGUUUCUGGCUUCCCCCUUCAAAUGGGAACACAGUCAUUCCCACUGUGGUGGACAGGUGUUCCAAAGCAGCACACUUCCUGGCACUUUCCAAGCUUCCAUCUGCUAAGGAGACUGCAGACCUGCUGGUCCAGCAUGGCAUCCCAUCUCAUAUAGUCUCUGACAGAGGUCCCCAAUUCACCUCGCAGGUUUGGAGAGCGUUUUCCACAGCGCUUGGUAUAGGUGUUGGUCUUUUCUCUGGCUAUCAUCCUCAGACUAACUGGCAAUGUGAGCGCACCAAUCAACAGCUGGAGACGGUGCCCCGUUGCAUAUACCAGUCUCGUCCCACUUCAUGGAGCACCCACCUUGCCUGGGUUGAGUAUGCCCAUAAUUCGCUACCCAGCACCUCCUUGGCCAUGUCCCCUUUUCAAUGCUCCUAAGGCUACCAACCGCCACUGUUCCCAUCGCAGGAGCAGGAGCUUGCAGUCCCUUCAGUGCAGGCCCACAUACGCCGGUGCUCCAAGGUCUGGAAGAAGGCCCGCGCUGCACUUCUCCGGUCCUCUGCGAUGUCUCAGGUACAAGCCAACCGUCGCCGCAUUCCUGCGCCUGCUUACACGGACGGUUGGUCAGAAAGUGUGGCUCAGCACGAAGCAUCUAUCACUCAAGGUUGAAUCCAAAAACUGUCCCCCCGUUUCAUUGGCCCCUAUGGGAUUGUGGCUGUAGUAAAUCCAUGUGCGGUACGCCUUAAGCUCCCUGCCUCUCUCCGCAUUCACCCCACCUUCCAUGUUUCCCUAAUAAAACCGGUUUCUUCUCGACCUCUAUCCCCCCCACCCCCUCCUCCUCCCUUGGUGAUCGGUGGUCAUCCCGCUUGGGCCGAGGACAGGCUCCUGGAUGUGCGUCGCCGGGGUCGGAGCUGUGGUCCGGAUGAGUGGAGCUGGGUCCUUGCGCGGUUGAUCCUGUGCAAGUCGUUGAUCCGCGACUUCCAUCGUGCCCACCCCGGUUGCUUGGCUUGUGUGCCGGGUGGCGCCCGUGGGAGGGGGUACUGUCAGGGCUGCUGUUUCAGCACCCUGAGCACAGCCCGUGUGUGUGUGUGCGUGUGUGUGUGUCAUGAGUGCUGUGCAGGGUUGACGUGUUGGAGUCUAGCAGCUGCACCUUGUCAUCCUAAUUACACCUGACUGAUCUUAAGACGCUGUGGGACUCCAACUCGUCGCCGGACUAUCAACGCUCUAUGUCGAUCUGCCAUCUGCCCUUGCUCCCUGCAAACAAGUGCUCACCUCUUGCGCCCCACCGACAACACAGACUCCUACCCUGCCAGACCGGUCCUCGUUGGAACCCUGCCAAUCCCGGAUUUAGUUCACGGAGUUCCUUUGUUCGGUUCCAAGCUGCAAUGAACCGUGAUUCACAAACUCACCUCCCUGUCCUCUCUGCAUCUGGGUCCAACUUGCAACCUGAAUCCUGACAAUACUGUAGUUUGAAGCUGCUGUUUGCUAUCAACCAGUCAAACCUCGUGCUACGGCUCUUCCACUGCUGCUUACUUCAUGUAUGAAGUCAUACCUGUCAAUGUGUGUAAUGAUACUGAGGCUCUGAACUCUUGGUUCCUCGACACCUGUCACACUGCUAUGGAUAAUGCGGCUCCAUUAAAAAGUAGAAGGCAAAAAACUAAAACUGAAACAGAUGCUGAGCCCUGGCUGAAUGAAACAACCCAUACUUCCAGACAUGCUUGUCAAAGAGAUGAAAGUGGAAAAAGGACAGAUUACAAGUGUCUUUCCAAAUG